UACGUAGGUGGCAAGCGUUAUCCGGAUUUAUUGGGCGUAAAGGGAACGCAGGCGGUCUUUUAAGUCUGAUGUGAAAGCCUUCGGCUUAACCGGAGUAGUGCAUUGGAAACUGGGAGACUUGAGUGCAGAAGAGGAGAGUGGAACUCCAUGUGUAGCGGUGAAAUGCGUAGAUAUAUGGAAGAACACCAGUGGCGAAAGCGGCUCUCUGGUCUGUAACUGACGCUGAGGUUCGAAAGCGUGGGUAGCAUACAGG
rnacentral:rRNA from 1 species